GUCUGUGGCCAUACCUCCCUGAUGGUGCCCAAUCUCAUCUGAUCUCAGAAGCUAAGCAGGGUCAGGCUUGGUUAGUACUUGUAUGGGAGAGGGAAAAAAAAAAAAAGUCCCAAAGAGAGUCAGAACUCCAGAAA
rnacentral:rRNA from 1 species